AGGACUAACGCUGGCGGCGUGCCUAACACAUGCAAGUCGAACGAGAGUAGCAAUACUCUAGUGGCAGACGGGUGAGUAACACGUGGUCAACCUACCUUUAAGUGGGGGAUAACUAGCCGAAAGGUUAGCUAAUACCGCAUACGAUCUUCGCGUGGCAUCACAUGAAGAUGAAAGGAGCAAUCCGCUGAAAGACGGGACCGCGUCCCAUUAGCCAGUUGGUGGGGUAACGGCCUACCAAAGCAACGAUGGGUAGCUGGCUUGAGAGAGCGACCAGCCACACUGGGACUGAGACACGGCCCAGACUCCUACGGGAGGCAGCAGUGAGGAAUUUUCCGCAAUGGGCGAAAGCCUGACGGAGCGACGCCGCGUGUGGGAAGAAGGCCUUCGGGUCGUAAACCACUGUCGAAGGGAAGAUAUUGACGGUACCUUGGAGGAGCCCCGGCUAACUACGUGCCAGCAGCCGC
rnacentral:rRNA from 1 species